rnacentral:rRNA from 1 species
GUCCACGCUGUAAACGAUGAGCACUAGGUGUCGGCUCCUUAGGGGUCGGUGCCGCAGUUAACACAUUAAGUGCUCCACCUGGGGACUACGACCGCAAGGUUGAAACUCAAAGGAAUUGACGGGGGCCCGCACAAGCGGUGGAACAUGUGGUUCAAUUUCGACGCUACGCGAAGAACCUUACCAAGGUUUGACAUGUAAGUGGUAGUGAAGCGAAAAGCGGAACGACCUCGCAAGAGGAGCUUACACAGGUGUUGCAUGGCUGUCGU